UUAUUGAAUGUGAUAGAUAAUUUUUCAAGAUAAAAGUUAAUUUGUUCUGUUAAUUUCAGCAUGAGAUCGCCAUAGUAACAGAAGGAGGCGUGGAGAUUAUUGGUCCUCUGUCGUCUGAAACCAACUGGGACAUUGCUCACCUGGUCAGUGGGUUUGAAUGAAGACGAGAAGCAACUGAUGAAGACCAGAUUUUUCUCUGCUCUCUGUCCCACCUGAAGUUUUGUGAUGUUGGUUGUCUCUUUUGUAUAAUGGAAAAUAAAUGUCAUAAAUCUAAA